AGAAUGUGAACCUCCAGUAUGUCGGAUGCAGUGAUGUAGCAAUGGGUGAUGUUUGUGACUAUGAUAGAGGUGAUUGUUCUCAUUCACAUCCAGCAAAUCAAGAAGUUUCUUCUGAAAUUGCUUUGUUUGAUGAAAAUCCAUGGGGGUUGGCAUGUUUGAUAACAUGAGCAUUGAAGAGGUUGUACCGGAUGCUAUUCCUUGUGAAGGACAGCAGUCAGCUCCUGUGUUUAGCGCAAGUUCGGACAAGGCACAUACAGAAGGUCCUGUUGAUGGAACACCUGAAAAGAAU